GACGAACCGUGCGAACGUUGUUCGGAAUCACUGGGCUUAAAGGGCGCGUAGGCGGGCCGCCAAGUCCGCGGUGAAAUCCCCCGGCUCAACCGGGGAACUGCCGCGGAUACUGGAGGUCUCGAGGGGGGUAGGGGCAUGCGGAACUGCGGGUGGAGCGGUGAAAUGCGUUGAUAUCCGCAGGAACUCCGGUGGCGAAGGCAGCUCGCUGGGACGUAACUGACGCUGAGACGCGAAAGCGUGGGGAGCAAACAGG
rnacentral:rRNA from 1 species